GAGGAGGUGAGAUACUGGGAAGGAGGCGGGGGCUCCAACCAGAGGGUCGGGGCAGCGGAGGAAAUGGGCGGCCCCCCUCUGCUGGUUUCCCUCCCGUCAGAGUGGCACCCAGCGCUGGCCGUUAGCCUGGGCGAUCUGCAGUUCAGACCCGGCUGGCUGGAGGGCGAGGACACGUGUGGGUGGAGCGGUCCUCCAUCCCGGAGCCACCAUCAGGGGACACUGUCUUCCGACACUACUAUUCAGAACUCAUACACAUGGUGAAGUUCAGGCCAGCUCCGCCCCCGCUUCCAGGCCCCCUUCCCGGGGUUGCGGGGUACUCAGACGACCGGCCUUCGUACUGUGAACCUGUCAGGCUUCCAGGAAGCCCCGAAAGUUGAGGAAGGUGCCUCCAGCUCUCGAACCCGCGCCUCCUGGGGCCCCAGGUGCUAGGCGUGUCCUUGUAGCGCCUCCACCUCCCCCUCCAGGUGGGACAACCUGUCCCGGAGCAGCCCCAGCUCAGCCAACAAGUUCUCUGUGCGUGGGGCCUGGGGCUCUCCUGGGACAUGGCCACGGGUGCCCUGCUCAGCGUCAGCCACGUGCAGGGACACCUGUCCUUCCCGGAACAGCUGAAACAGAUGUUUCCACCUUUGGUUGUUUUCUUCAGACAUUCUGAGCAAUUCCUUCAGUUCAGACACUUCCCUGGACAGAUUUUAAUAAUGUCCCUCUUUCUGUGAAAAGCUGUCUUCGCAGAUUUAAGUUUCCUGUCAAACUCAUACAAAGCUUUAUCCAUGAGUUUCAGUCCAGUUCGGCAGCUCUUCCAGCUCCUCCUGUUCUAAGGCAGGGAAUCCCUCUCACCCGCUGGAGAGAACUCUCCAGAAAACCAAGACACCCCAGGUGACACAGCACCAGAAGAGCCGGCUAAACCUGGUCCUAGGCCAGAGGUCUCCAGGCCCGCGGCCCAUCAGCGCCUCGGCAGAGACCCACCAGGGGACUACACCCUGCACGGCUCCAAGCUCCGGCCACGAGGUGCUGGCUUUCCCGAGCCUGUCUCCCAGGGACGCAGCCACCACCAACGUCUGCACAGACAGCCGCCUACCCAGCCCCCACGGUGGAAGGCCGAGGCCUGCCUAGGCCAGUGGUCUCGGAUUGCUCCCGACUGGGUGAGGACCUGGAUCCCGGGCCUAGGGGCCGAAGUUGGCAUUUUUCUCCCUGGGAGCCCUAAUGCGACGUGGCCCAGCAACUGCUUGUAAGUGCAUCCUGUUUCUGUUGUCUUCCUUCUGCCAGAGCUAGCUUUGCUCCCCACUUCAGCAUUUCGGAUUGCCAGGGGGCUAGCCGCUGCCCUUGAGGGGGUGAAGGGUCAGUGUUGGAAGGCCUGGAGGGAGGGUCUGCAGGGCUGUGGAGAUGCAGGUGGGCCUCUCUGCGAGAGGGAGGUUUCCCUUGGCUGAGUGGGGAGCCCAUCUUGGGAACAAAGGGGCUGGAGAAUACAGGUGGGCGAGCGCACGUGGCAUUCUGAGGGCAGGCCAGGGGCAGCCCCCCGCCAAAGGCAUUGCCAGGUGCAGAGAGGUUGGAAGGAGGCCGUGCAGGCAGAUGGAGUUUCGGGGGGCCCUUAAUGUGAGGGGACUGCUGCUCUCUGCUGACCAGGGAGUGCUCGGCGCAGACCCCAGCUUCAUGGUCCAUGAGAAGAUGAGGGUCUGUGGGCUUCUGUCUGCUCCUGCUGGAUGGCCCUUGGCUGAGAGGGGCCUCAACUGCAGGCAGCUUGGUGGGCAGCGGGCAGGGGUCCGCAGGGCGCUCUCAGCUGCAUAUGAAGGUGGCCCCUUGUCCUGGGAGGAGACUGAGCCAGACCUUGGACUUUGGUUCCCCAAGUUGCGGGGCACCCAAAGGCCUCUUGGUGGGGACCCUGGAUGGAGAACAUGCAACUGCGCAUAUGUUGCGGAAUGGCGGACCGUGGGAUGGGGCUUUUCCGGCCACGGGAGGACACUCAAGCCCAGUCAGAUAAGCUGGAGGGCCGUCAGGCUCAGCGGGGGCCAGGGGCAUCCCAGUGUGCAUUAGUGACUGACCUUUGCCGGGCCUGGAGUCCAAGGGGACCUUGGUUUUAAGGUGCCUAGGUGGGUGACCACACAAGAGCCUGUGACCCCUGGUCUGUGGCUGCCCUGGACUCUGCGGGGAGCCCACUGAGAGGUUUGCUGGCCCUGGGCAGGAAUCCCGGGAAAUCUCCCUAUGAGUCAGCAACAGUCGUUCGUGGAACACGACGUGCGAUGCUGCUCCAAGGUUUACAAGUGUCCAAGUCCGGGUUCGAGGCCGCCCUCUGCUCAGCGCUGAGCUGGAGGCCAGGCGCGUUUCGGGGGCGCUACGCUGGCGUGUGCGGAGCCGGUGUGCGGCCCCGGAGGCCUGAGGGUCCCCUGCGUUCCGGUUCUCGGCGCCCCCGAUCUCCUGCUGCGGGAGGGGAACACCAAGGCGAGGAGUCGGGCCAGCUCCGUCCGCCGAAGCGGGUGCGCCAGGCGCCGCGUGCGGGUGCGCGGACUCGCAAGCCCACCUAGCGGAGCCAAAGUGGCCUCGAACAUGAACGUGGAGUACACGGUAUGGGCCAGAGGCCCGGGUCAGGAAGAAUGGGCGCCGGUGGCCAGAAGGGCGGCCGAAGAGGCGGCGAGGAGAAGCAGGAGCGGCGACAGCCACCCAUCUCGCCUCUCCGCUCAGCUCUCCCUGCGACACCGCAGCGGCGCCCGGCAGGUAUACGCGCCCCGUGCGUCACCCCGCCUCUCUGUGACGUCACGUGCACC
ensembl:lncRNA